rnacentral:rRNA from 1 species
GUAACCUGGUUGAUCCUGCCAGUAGUCAUAUGCUUGUCUCAAAGAUUAAGCCAUGCAUGUCUAAGUGUAAAUAAGUCCACACUGUGAAACUGCGAAUGGCUCAUUAAAUCAGUUAUCGUUUACUUGAUGAUCUCUUAUUACUUGGAUAACCGUAGUAAUUCUAGAGCUAAUACAUGCACACAAUCCUGACUUCU